UACGUAGGGGGCGAGCGUUGUCCGGAGUUACUGGGCGUAAAGGGCAUGCAGGCGGUCGGACGCGUUUCGGGUGACAGCGGGUGGCUUAACUACCCGAGUGGUCGAAAGACGGUUUGACUUGAGGACGCGAGAGGGACACGGAAUUCCGGGUGGAGUGGUGAAAUGCGUAGAGAUCCGGAGGAACACCGAAGGCGACGGCAGUGUCCUGGCGCGUAACUGACGCUGAGGUGCGAAAGCUAGGGGAGCGAAUGGG
rnacentral:rRNA from 1 species